UGGUGGAGUGAUUUGUCUGGUUAAUUCCGUUAACGAGCGAGACCAACACUUACUAAAUAAACCAUUCAACCUUCUGAUAUGCUGUGAAGGUGCGUUGGCGAUUCGGCUUAACGGCUGACUCCUGGCGUGCUGGAUCAGUUGAUGAGUUGAAUGCACGUUUUCUUAGGAGGACUAUCGGCUUCAAGCCGAAGGAAGUUGUUGGCAAUAACA
rnacentral:rRNA from 1 species